UCUUACAGAUGAGCAAAGAAAGUGGUUUCUUGAGAUGGAAACUACUGCUGGUGAAGAUAUUGUGAA
rnacentral:pre_miRNA from 1 species